rnacentral:rRNA from 1 species
CGAACGCUGGCGGCAUGCCUAACACAUGCAAGUCGAACGAGACCUUCGGGUCUAGUGGCGCACGGGUGCGUAACGCGUGGGAACCUGCCUUGAGGUUCGGGAUAACAGUUAGAAAUGACUGCUAAUACCGGAUGAUGUCUUCGGACCAAAGAUUUAUCGCCUUUAGAUGGGCCCGCGUUGGAUUAGCUAGUUGGUGGGGUAAAGGCCUACCAAGGCGACGAUCCAUAGCUGGUCUGAGAGGAUGAUCAGCCACACUGGGACUGAGACACGGCCCAGACUCCGACGGGAGGCAGCAGUGGGGAAUAUUGGACAAUGGGCGAAAGCCUGAUCCAGCAAUGCCGCGUGAGUGAUGAAGGCCUUAGGGUUGUAAAGCUCUUUUACCAGGGAUGAUAAUGACAGUACCUGGAGAAUAAGCUCCGGCUAACUCCGU